UAGGGAAUCUUCGGCAAUGGGGGGAACCCUGACCGAGCAACGCCGCGUGAGUGAAGAAGGUUUUCGGAUCGUAAAGCUCUGUUGUUAAGGAAGAACGAGUGUGAGAAUGGAAAGUUCAUGCUGUGACGGUACUUAACCAGAAAGGGACGGCUAACUACGUGCCAGCAGCCGCGGUAAUACGUAGGUCCCGAGCGUUGUCCGGAUUUAUUGGGCGUAAAGCGAGCGCAGGCGGUUAGAAAAGUCUGAAGUGAAAGGCAGUGGCUCAACCAUUGUAGGCUUUGGAAACUGUUUAACUUGAGUGCAGAAGGGGAGAGUGGAAUUCCAUGUGUAGCGGUGAAAUGCGUAGAUAUAUGGAGGAACACCGGUGGCGAAGGCGGCUCUCUGGUCUGUAACUGACGCUGAGGCUCGAAAGCGUGGGGAGCGAACAGG
rnacentral:rRNA from 2 species